GUGGAGUGCCAAAGUUUUCAAUUCAGCUGCUAAACACAUUCCUAGUAAAACCAAGCUUCCAAGGUCACCGCAAAAGCAGCAACUAAGUAUAACAGUAGUUAAUUAAUGAGCCAGAUUCCCAACAAAUCACGAAGCAGUUCAACAUCCCAAGAGGAACUGGGGCAUGAAAUAGAUGACAAGAGGAAAACGAAGAGCUAAUAAAAGGCUGUAAGGAUUCAGAGAAGAAAAUACAAAGCUCUUGACAGCCAUGGAGUUGUCAUGUUUUAGAGCCAAGUGUCAGACCCUGGGCUGAAAGCUGUCUUUGACUAGUGCCAAUGGACAAGUUGUUAAAAUAUCUGAGACCUUCACAGGAACUGAGACACGUUUAGGGCAAAGGAAUCCAUGUGCCUCCAUCAUCCAAGCACUAAAGGGAACCAUGGACUGACUAUUGCUCUCCCUUACAUGCUGACCACUGGGGAAGCAAAAGCCACCACUCAGGAGCUCUGCUUUGUUCUCUAUGUAUUCUACAGAAGAAGAACAAAAAAGAACUACCAGUCAGCUGAUUAGUAAUAUCUAGAUGUAUUAUCAUUGCAGGAAUAAUCAAGAAAAGAAUAUUGGCUGGGAGGGAGGGGGAGGUGUUCAAGGGAUCAAGGAAAUUUGAAAUUCGGACAUAGUGUGACAUAGUGACAUAGCGAGUGACAAGGUGAGAAAAGAAGGGAGUGAUACAGCUGCAAGUGGCGAGGAGACACGCUUCCCUAGAUCCUACACAAGGAGCAUGGCCCAUAGGCCCCGACUUCGGCUUUGCAAUCUCAAGAACCAGGAGAGAACAUACUUCUAUUGAUCAACGGAAUCAAGUCCAUGGAACAUUUUUGUGUCAUCCCUGGGAAACAAGAACAAUCUGAUGUCGAGGCUUCACUAUUUCCUUGGAGCAAGAAUAUACUAAUAUGUGAAGACAAUAAAAGUCCAACUGAGUUACUGAAUGAGAACCAUGUGCAAUAAAUCUGCAGACCUGGAAUGACAGCUUACGGACUAUGGAGCAUUAUUCUGAAAUUCCUGCAGCGACUUCCUGAGGUUCCCAGGGCAUCAUCUGUCCUAGAAUUCUGCUCACCAGAUGUCCCUUGAAAGACCCCCAGAACUGGGGAGAUCCUCACUCAAGUCUCGGGAUGAUGCGACCACCCAAUAACUCACGAGAGACC